GUUCAGAUUUCUANCGGAGGCAGCAGUGGGGAAUUUUGACAAUGGGGGCAAGCCUGAUCCAGCCAUGCCGCGUGAGUGAAGAAGGCCUUCGGGUUGUAAAGCUCUUUCGGCGGGGACGAAAAGGUCCGUGCUAACACCACGGAUCCAUGACGGUACCCGCAGAAGAAGCACCGGCUAACUACGUGCCAGCAGCCGCGGUAAUACGUAGGGUGCAGGCGUUAAUCGGAAUUACUGGGCGUAAAGCGUGCGCAGGCGGUCUAUUAAGACAGGUGUGAAAUCCCCGGGCUUAACCUGGGAACUGCGCUUGUAACUGAUAGGCUGGAGUGUGGCAGAGGGGGGUGGAAUUCCAGGUGUAGCAGUGAAAUGCGUAGAGAUCUGGAGGAACACCGAUGGCGAAGGCAGCCCCCUGGGCUAACACUGACGCUCAUGCACGAAAGCGUGGGGAGCAAACAGGAUUAGAUACCCUGGUAGUCCACGCCCUAAACUAUGUCAACUGGUUGUCGGGGAAGCAAUUCCUUGGUAACGAAGCUAACGCGUGAAGUUGACCGCCUGGGGAGUACGGCCGCAAGGUUAAAACUCAAAGGAAUUGACGGGGACCCGCACAAGCGGUGGAUUAUGUGGAUUAAUUCGAUGCAACGCGAAAAACCUUACCUACCCUUGACAUGCCAGGAAGCUCCCAGAGAUGGGAGUGUGCCCGAAAGGGAACCUGGACACAGGUGCUGCAUGGCUG
rnacentral:rRNA from 1 species